rnacentral:rRNA from 1 species
AGUGAACGCUGGCGGUAGGCCUAACACAUGCAAGUCGAACGGCAGCACAGUAAGAGCUUGCUCUUACGGGUGGCGAGUGGCGGACGGGUGAGGAAUACAUCGGAAUCUACUUUUUCGUGGGGGAUAACGUAGGGAUACUUACGCUAAUACCGCAUACGACCUACGGGUGAAAGCAGGGGAUCUUCGGACCUUGCGCGAUUGAAUGCGCCGAUGUCGGAUUAGCUAGUUGGCGGGGUAAAGGCCCACCAAGGCGACGAUCCGUAGCUGGUCUGAGAGGAUGAUCAGCCACACUGGAACUGAGACACGGUCCAGACUCCUACGGGAGGCAGCAGUGGGGAAUAUUGGACAAUGGGCGCAAGCCUGAUCCAGCCAUACCGCGUGGGUGAAGAAGGCCUUCGGGUUGUAAAGCCCUUUUGUUGGGAAAGAAAAGCAGCAGGUUAAUACCCCGCUGUUCUGACGGUACCCAAAGAAUAAGCACCGGCUAACUUCGUG